GUACAGUGUCUGGAUUGGAGGAUCCAUUCUUGCAUCCCUCAGCACAUUCCAGCAGAUGUGGAUCUCAAAGGGCGAGUAUGAUGAGUCUGGUCCUUCCAUUGUCCACAGAAAGUGCUUCUAAGGUGCUGCUAUAAUUACUUAAAAGUGCGAGUGUCCUGUCUGUUUCCCGGUUUUGCUAUUAUGUUGCCAGUCAAUUUGUUUUUUUGAUGGGAUGGAGAAGUUUGGUGGUGGGGGCUAUGAAUGCACGGUAGCAAACAACAGAUUGCCAGUAUUAUCUCAUGUUUCCAUUUAAUGUGGUUAAUAUUCUCUACAUACUUGAGAGGUGCCUGAUGCAUUGCCCUCUUCUGUCUGGCUACACCAUCCCUUGGUCGAAGCGUCUCUUUUUUAGGUUGUUUGUAGUUGAAGGAGAGUGAUUGUGAUGUUUUCUCCUCGUCUUUUCUCUCAUUUUCUCCUUUUAUCUGAUUUUGCACUUUUGUGGUUCUUUUUUUUCUUGGACCCAAUAAUGUCAAUAUUUAUUGAAUGAGAAAAUUCCUAUAUCAUAUCAGUUUGAGGAAAUCAUUACUAUUUGUGUGGAUACAGGAGUUUUGACUCUUUAUUGGCGAUAUUUUGUAUUCUAUUGUUGCUGUUUUGGAUGUGGUUUCAGAACUUCCUUAGUGCAUUUGCUCUUAAAUCUGUUUUGCAGUAAAAUUGAGGCUAUAAAAGCUUCAUUGCAGAUUACCCUCGGAUGAGGGAUCUCCUCAUUGCCUGUCAUAUAUUGGUUUCUUUUCAUCCAACACGCAGGAUACAUACAUUUAUUGAAUUUGACCUUCUAUUUUGGGACAACUCUACUGUGAAAUUGGAGGGAUUGUUGAAUUUUUUUCUUGCAUGAGUUCAUUGAUGGUAUUAUUUUUGAUUAGGAACGAG
rnacentral:misc_RNA from 1 species